GGAUGCUACAGCUUAGUGGUAAAGCGCCUGUUUAGCAUGCACAAGGUCCUGGGUUCAAUCCCCAGUCCCUCCA
rnacentral:tRNA from 1 species